rnacentral:rRNA from 1 species
GAUGAACGCUGGCGGCGUGCUUAACACAUGCAAGUCGAACGGUGAACGAGGGAGCUUGCUCCCUCCGGAUCAGUGGCGAACGGGUGAGUAACACGUGAGCAAUCUGCCCUGGACUCUGGGAUAAGCGUUGGAAACGACGUCUAAUACCGGAUACGAGGCGUGGGGGCAUCCCCAACGCCUGGAAAGAAUUUCGGUCCAGGAUGAGCUCGCGGCCUAUCAGGUAGUUGGUGAGGUAACGGCUCACCAAGCCUACGACGGGUAGCCGGCCUGAGAGGGUGACCGGCCACACUGGGACUGAGACACGGCCCAGACUCCUACGGGAGGCAGCAGUGGGAAAUAUUGCACAAUGGGCGCAAGCCUGAUGCAGCAACGCCGCGUGAGGGACGACGGCCUUCGGGUUGUAAACCUCUUUUAGCAGGGAAGAAGCGAAAGUGACGGUACCUGCAGAAAAAGCACCGGCUAACUACGUGCCAGCAGCCGCGGUAAAAC